rnacentral:rRNA from 1 species
UACGAGUGCCCCGAGCGUUAUCCGGAAUCAUUGGGCGUAAAGGGUGUGUAGGUGGUCUUAUUAGUCUCUUGUUAAAUUCUUCGGCUUAACCGGGGGCAUGCAAGGGAAACGGUAAGACUUGAGGAUGCGAGGGGUCUGCGGAACUCAUAGUGUAGCGGUGAAAUGCGUUGAUAUUAUGGGGAACACCAAAAGCGAAGGCAGCAGACUGGAGCACUCCUGACACUGAAACACGAAAGCGUGGGUAGCGAAUGGG